UUCUAGUAAGUCCUGAGCUGCCUGGCGUCACACAGAGACGGGCAAGAUCCACCCCCUGCCCACAGAUGACGUAAACAGAUGGAGGAAGUUUAGAGAUGCCUUUAGUUGGCAUACCAGGAAUCCUGCCCCCAGAAAUCUGUGAUCCCGGGGGAAAGUCACUCAGCUGCAGAAGCACCGGGAGACUAGAGGUUGUGACCCACGCAAAGGAAGAAUGACAGAGACUGAAAGGCAGGCUGUUGAGAUGGCUCGGAGGAUCAGCCUGAUGACCUGAGUGCAACCUCUGAACCCAGAUGUUGGAAGGAGAGAACUGAAGUAUUCCGGUCUCCACACGCAAACCCUGAGGUGCAGCCCCGCCCUGCGUAUACUCACAACAGCGCACA